ACAACGCUGGCGGCGUGCCUAACACAUGCAAGUCGAGCGGUCCGGCAUUUAACAUUGAGUAUUCAGAUGAAUCUGAGUAUUGAAUGUUAAAUGUCGGAUAGCGGCGGACGGGUGAGUAACGCGUGGGUAACCUGCCUUAUACAGGGGGAUAACACAGGGAAACUUGUGCUAAUACCGCAUAAUAUCAUUGUAUGGCAUCAUAUGGUGAUCAAAGGAGCAAUCCGGUAUAAGAUGGACCCGCGUCCAAUUAGCUAGUUGGUGGUGUAACGGACCACCAAGGCGACGAUUGGUAGCCGAACUGAGAGGUUGAUCGGCCACAUUGGGACUGAGACACGGCCCAGACUCCUACGGGAGGCAGCAGUGGGGAAUAUUGCACAAUGGGGGAAACCCUGAUGCAGCAACGCCGCGUGAAGGAUGAAGGUUUUCGGAUCGUAAACUUCUUUGAUGAGGGACGAAUAAUGACGGUACCUCAAGAACAAGCCACGGCUAACUACGUG
rnacentral:rRNA from 1 species